CUGUCACUGGAGAGUUGACUCUGGAAAAAACAAAACAAAAAGCCUUUUCUGAAGAGAAGCUGUCCUCUUCAAAAUGGAGUCCUGAAGUAUAUCUAAAUGAAUAGAAUUUAAAUUCAUGACACUUUGGAUAUGCUCUAGUCGGAGAAGAAAAAAAGAAAAAAACAUAAAAUUUGAGGGACGGAUUACUACAACUUCUCCAGAACUAGAAAAAUGUAAGGCAAGAGUAAGCUCUUAAGGGUAUUUGCUUUAAGAGGAGUGCAUAGGUUUUAAAAGAAGAGGAGAUACAGCUGAUGAAACUUAAGUGUUUUGGGAAUUUAUUGCAAAUUUUUUUUUUUUUUUUUUUUUUUUUUUUUUUUUACAGCUGCAGCGGUCAUUUGUAUUUCCAUGGCCACCCAUAUGUCCCAAGAACGUAUGCACUCAUUUAUGAUUUUGGCAUCAGCAUCAUUUCCCUCAACGAUGGUGAAUCUUUUAACAUUCUAGGAGCAUCUUUAUCUCUGAAGACAAAGGGAUGCUAAGAAGAAUCUCAACAGUUCUGGCUUAGUUUCUCCCAGUUUCCUACCAUCACCUCGUACUGCUUGUCCUGUCCUAUCCUCCAUGACAGCCUACUCUCAAUCAAACCUGGCCUAAAAGCACACAGGUCUAACUGCUUCUUCAGGUCUUCAUUUCAUUAGGAAAGAUGGCCUGUUGUGUAAAAUAUACACUAAAUACAUUUAUGUGCAGGGGCACCUGGGUGGCUCAGUGGUUGAGCAUCUGCCUUGGGCCCAGGGCGUGAUCCUGGAGUCCCGGGAUGGAGUCCCACAUCGGGCUUCCCGCAGGGAGUCUGCUUCUCCCUCUACCUGUGUCUCUGCCUCUCUCUUGGUGCCUCUCAUGAAUGAAUGAAUAAAUAAAAUCUUAAAAAAAGAUACA
rnacentral:lncRNA from 12 species